GACGGAGGUUCCAACGGAUUAAAAUUCGUCGGACGUUUGUGACGGAUUUCCGACCAAUUUCCGACGAAAACAAAAAAUUUGAAGUCGUCGGAAUUCCGUCGGCCAUUUCCGACGAAUUUCAGAGGAAAAGUGGCUCGUCGGAAUAUUCCGACGACUUUUCGACGACAUUCUGAUAAAACAUAUAACCGUUGUAGUCGUCGGAAAUUCGUCGGAAUAUACCGACGAACUUCCGACGACAUUCCGAUUGAGAGAUAUAAAUGUUACAGUCGUCGGUAUUCCGUCGGAAUUUUCUGACGAAUUUCCGACGAACCAUGUUUCCGUCGGAAAUCCCUCGCAAAAUACCGACGACAUAGCGACGACAAAGGGUUCCAUUGAAGUUUGGAAAUGUCCUCGGUAAUUCGUCAGAAUUUACCGACGAUAUUCCGACGAACUACACAAGUUCGUCGGAAUGUCGUCGGUAUAUUCCGACGAAUUACCGAGGACAUGUGUUUCUAAAAAAUUUUAAACAUAAAAAUCUAUAAAUUUAGAUGCCAAAACUAUGAAAAUAACACAUAAUAAGUGUUUAGUAUAGUAUUAGAUCACAACCGUUCAAAUAUAACAACUCAUUAAAAUAUUUAUGUAUGCAUAUCAUUGUUUUCAUAACAUCUCAUCUUAACACUCAUAUACUUAUACAAUCAUAUUCAUAUAAUCUUACACUACAAAUGUUACCGUCGUCGGUAUUCCGUCGGAAUUUUCUGACGAAUUUCCGACGAACCAUGUUUCCGUCGGAAAUCCCUCGCAAAAUACCGACGACAUAGCGACGACAAAGGGUUCCAUUGAAGUUUGGAAAUGUCCUCGGUAAUUCGUCAGAAUUUACCGACGAUAUUCCGACGAACUACACAAGUUCGUCGGAAUGUCGUCGGUAUAUUCCGACGAAUUACCGAGGACAUGUGUUUCUAAAAAAUUUUAAACAUAAAAAUCUAUAAAUUUAGAUGCCAAAACUAUGAAAAUAACACAUAAUAAGUGUUUAGUAUAGUAUUAGAUCACAACCGUUCAAAUAUAACAACUCAUUAAAAUAUUUAUGUAUGCAUAUCAUUGUUUUCAUAACAUCUCAUCUUAACACUCAUAUACUUAUACAAUCAUAUUCAUCUAAUCUUACACUACAAAAAAUGUUGUUGUGUAAAAUCGUGUUAUAAAAACAUUUUUAUUGUUAAAUCUUUAUGCAAAUACUAUAUAUAUUAUCAAAGAUUUGGAUUUUGCAUUUAGAAACUUGUAAUCAACCCCUAAACACUAAGUCGUCGGAAUUCGGUCAGAAAAAGUCGUCAGUAUUCCGUCGGAAUCUACUGACGGACACCAAUUCCGUCGGAAUUUCAAUUUACCCGGGAAAACCAAACCGCGUGAAAAUUUUCGCGAACCGCCAAUUGGUAUAUAUUUAAUUAUCCCGACGGAAUACUGACGAACCUGUGUCCGUCGGAAACAUUAAAUAUAAUUACCCUUCUUCUUCCUUCUUCGUUAUUUCCGCCUCCGCCUCUGUCUCAAUCCUCUCCGCGAUUUCUCUCCCUUUCACGGCGAUUCCGACCAUUCUCGAGCUCCUAUCACCGGCGAAUCCUCUUCUCACCCUCAUAUCUCUUCCCCAAACCCCAAAUCAUGUCUGAGGAUGUACCCCGCCCCGCAGCCCGUCUUCGACGUAGUUUGGUGAGCAGUUCCCGUGCAUCGGGAUCGUCUCAUGAACAAAACUCGGUUCCCGUAUAUAUUCCCGCUCCAGAAGAAGUUCAGCGCCGAGAUAAUGCAGAAGCUAGAUCGUUUGAUGUCUUCGAGUUCUUAGUUUUUUCUGCUUUUUAAAACUUUCUGAAUGUUUUUUUUCUAUUUCGGUUUGUAUGAAUUUUUAACUUUCUGAAUGUUUUUUUUUCUAUUUCGGUUUGUAUGAAUUUAAAUUCUAUAAUAUUAUUAGUUUUAAAUUUCAGAUUUUAUUUAUUUAUUAAUUAAUUUUUAAUAUAAAAAAUAUAUAAAAAUGCAAAAUUAAUUCGUAUUUAAAAUUGAUAUAUUCCGACGAAUUGAGGCCGUCGGAAAUCCCUCGCAAAAUACCGACGACAUAGCGACGACAAAGGGUUCCAUUGAAGUUUGGAAAUGUCCUCGGUAAUUCGUCAGAAUUUACCGACGAUAUUCCGACGAACUACACAAGUUCGUCGGAAUGUCGUCGGUAUAUUCCGACGAAUUACCGAGGACAUGUGUUUCUAAAAAAUUUUAAACAUAAAAAUCUAUAAAUUUAGAUGCCAAAACUAUGAAAAUAACACAUAAUAAGUGUUUAGUAUAGUAUUAGAUCACAACCGUUCAAAUAUAACAACUCAUUAAAAUAUUUAUGUAUGCAUAUCAUUGUUUUCAUAACAUCUCAUCUUAACACUCAUAUACUUAUACAAUCAUAUUCAUAUAAUCUUACACUACAAAUGUUACCGUCGUCGGUAUUCCGUCGGAAUUUUCUGACGAAUUUCCGACGAACCAUGUUUCCGUCGGAAAUCCCUCGCAAAAUACCGACGACAUAGCGACGACAAAGGGUUCCAUUGAAGUUUGGAAAUGUCCUCGGUAAUUCGUCAGAAUUUACCGACGAUAUUCCGACGAACUACACAAGUUCGUCGGAAUGUCGUCGGUAUAUUCCGACGAAUUACCGAGGACAUGUGUUUCUAAAAAAUUUUAAACAUAAAAAUCUAUAAAUUUAGAUGCCAAAACUAUGAAAAUAACACAUAAUAAGUGUUUAGUAUAGUAUUAGAUCACAACCGUUCAAAUAUAACAACUCAUUAAAAUAUUUAUGUAUGCAUAUCAUUGUUUUCAUAACAUCUCAUCUUAACACUCAUAUACUUAUACAAUCAUAUUCAUCUAAUCUUACACUACAAAAAAUGUUGUUGUGUAAAAUCGUGUUAUAAAAACAUUUUUAUUGUUAAAUCUUUAUGCAAAUACUAUAUAUAUUAUCAAAGAUUUGGAUUUUGCAUUUAGAAACUUGUAAUCAACCCCUAAACACUAAGUCGUCGGAAUUCGGUCAGAAAAAGUCGUCAGUAUUCCGUCGGAAUCUACUGACGGACACCAAUUCCGUCGGAAUUUCAAUUUACCCGGGAAAACCAAACCGCGUGAAAAUUUUCGCGAACCGCCAAUUGGUAUAUAUUUAAUUAUCCCGACGGAAUACUGAUGAACCUGUGUCCGUCGGAAACAUUAAAUAUAAUUACCCUUCUUCUUCCUUCUUCGUUAUUUCCGCCUCCGCCUCUGUCUCAAUCCUCUCCGCGAUUUCUCUCCCUUUCACGGCGAUUCCGACCAUUCUCGAGCUCCUAUCACCGGCGAAUCCUCUUCUCACCCUCAUAUCUCUUCCCCAAACCCCAAAUCAUGUCUGAGGAUGUACCCCGCCCCGCAGCCCGUCUUCGACGUAGUUUGGUGAGCAGUUCCCGUGCAUCGGGAUCGUCUCAUGAACAAAACUCGGUUCCCGUAUAUAUUCCCGCUCCAGAAGAAGUUCAGCGCCGAGAUAAUGCAGAAGCUAGAUCGUUUGAUGUCUUCGAGUUCUUAGUUUUUUCUGCUUUUUAAAACUUUCUGAAUGUUUUUUUUCUAUUUCGGUUUGUAUGAAUUUUUAACUUUCUGAAUGUUUUUUUUUCUAUUUCGGUUUGUAUGAAUUUAAAUUCUAUAAUAUUAUUAGUUUUAAAUUUCAGAUUUUAUUUAUUUAUUAAUUAAUUUUUAAUAUAAAAAAUAUAUAAAAAUGCAAAAUUAAUUCGUAUUUAAAAUUGAUAUAUUCCGACGAAUUGAGGCCGUCGGAAAUCCCUCGCAAAAUACCGACGACAUAGCGACGACAAAGGGUUCCAUUGAAGUUUGGAAAUGUCCUCGGUAAUUCGUCAGAAUUUACCGACGAUAUUCCGACGAACUACACAAGUUCGUCGGAAUGUCGUCGGUAUAUUCCGACGAAUUACCGAGGACAUGUGUUUCUAAAAAAUUUUAAACAUAAAAAUCUAUAAAUUUAGAUGCCAAAACUAUGAAAAUAACACAUAAUAAGUGUUUAGUAUAGUAUUAGAUCACAACCGUUCAAAUAUAACAACUCAUUAAAAUAUUUAUGUAUGCAUAUCAUUGUUUUCAUAACAUCUCAUCUUAACACUCAUAUACUUAUACAAUCAUAUUCAUAUAAUCUUACACUACAAAUGUUACCGUCGUCGGUAUUCCGUCGGAAUUUUCUGACGAAUUUCCGACGAACCAUGUUUCCGUCGGAAAUCCCUCGCAAAAUACCGACGACAUAGCGACGACAAAGGGUUCCAUUGAAGUUUGGAAAUGUCCUCGGUAAUUCGUCAGAAUUUACCGACGAUAUUCCGACGAACUACACAAGUUCGUCGGAAUGUCGUCGGUAUAUUCCGACGAAUUACCGAGGACAUGUGUUUCUAAAAAAUUUUAAACAUAAAAAUCUAUAAAUUUAGAUGCCAAAACUAUGAAAAUAACACAUAAUAAGUGUUUAGUAUAGUAUUAGAUCACAACCGUUCAAAUAUAACAACUCAUUAAAAUAUUUAUGUAUGCAUAUCAUUGUUUUCAUAACAUCUCAUCUUAACACUCAUAUACUUAUACAAUCAUAUUCAUCUAAUCUUACACUACAAAAAAUGUUGUUGUGUAAAAUCGUGUUAUAAAAACAUUUUUAUUGUUAAAUCUUUAUGCAAAUACUAUAUAUAUUAUCAAAGAUUUGGAUUUUGCAUUUAGAAACUUGUAAUCAACCCCUAAACACUAAGUCGUCGGAAUUCGGUCAGAAAAAGUCGUCAGUAUUCCGUCGGAAUCUACUGACGGACACCAAUUCCGUCGGAAUUUCAAUUUACCCGGGAAAACCAAACCGCGUGAAAAUUUUCGCGAACCGCCAAUUGGUAUAUAUUUAAUUAUCCCGACGGAAUACUGACGAACCUGUGUCCGUCGGAAACAUUAAAUAUAAUUACCCUUCUUCUUCCUUCUUCGUUAUUUCCGCCUCCGCCUCUGUCUCAAUCCUCUCCGCGAUUUCUCUCCCUUUCACGGCGAUUCCGACCAUUCUCGAGCUCCUAUCACCGGUGAAUCCUCUUCUCACCCUCAUAUCUCUUCCCCAAACCCCAAAUCAUGUCUGAGGAUGUACCCCGCCCCGCAGCCCGUCUUCGACGUAGUUUGGUGAGCAGUUCCCGUGCAUCGGGAUCGUCUCAUGAACAAAACUCGGUUCCCGUAUAUAUUCCCGCUCCAGAAGAAGUUCAGCGCCGAGAUAAUGCAGAAGCUAGAUCGUUUGAUGUCUUCGAGUUCUUAGUUUUUUCUGCUUUUUAAAACUUUCUGAAUGUUUUUUUUCUAUUUCGGUUUGUAUGAAUUUUUAACUUUCUGAAUGUUUUUUUUUCUAUUUCGGUUUGUAUGAAUUUAAAUUCUAUAAUAUUAUUAGUUUUAAAUUUCAGAUUUUA